UGAGUAACACGUAUCCACCUAGCCGUCUACUCUUGGACAGCCUUCUGAAAGGAAGAUUAAUACAAGAUGGCAUCAUGAGUCCGCAUGUUCACAUGAUUAAAGGUAUUCCGGUAGACGAUGGGGAUGCGUUCCAUUAGAUAGUAGGCGGGGUAACGGCCCACCUAGUCUUCGAUGGAUAGGGGUUCUGAGAGGAAGGUCCCCCACAUUGGAACUGAGACACGGUCCAA
rnacentral:rRNA from 1 species